GGGGAUUAUAAGGAGCAGUUUCUCAUUGAUAGCAGGAACUGUUUGCGGUAUUUACAUAGCUCAGAACUACAACGUCCCCAACAUUAACAAGCUUAUACAGAAUGCAUUAUUCAAAGCCAAAGAUGUAGAAGAGAAAUAUCGCAAACCUCCUAAGCCUGGCGAUCGUCUUUAGAUUCACUCUCCUUAUUUCAGAGCAGUUGCAUUUCCUAGAUGGCUCCAACUAAUUUUGCAAAGCUUGGUCUUUAUUCUUCGUUCAGAGUUUGGAGAUAAAUUUCCCCAAAACUUACCUGUUGCCACCUAGAACCUACAGUUUCUUGGAUUUAACCUCAGGUUAUGCUCCCUCGUAACCUUAGCCCCACAGAUCCGACUGUUGCUCUUUUAUCUCUCUUAACUAUUAGCAACAUAUUGUCUACAUAAGCCUCCAUAGUGUGUGCAUAAAUAGUUUUUAGUGUGAAUACGUUCUGUUAACAUUUCCCUGCCUUUAAU
rnacentral:misc_RNA from 1 species